rnacentral:tRNA from 1 species
AAGGAUGAAGCAAUUUUGCACCCAGUUUCGGCCUGGGUAAUGGGAAUUUCCCAUCCUUA